rnacentral:rRNA from 1 species
CUCGCCUGCAUGAAGCUGGAAUUGCUAGUAAUCGCGGAUCAGCAAGCCGCGGUGAAUACGUUCCCGGGCCUUGUACACACCGCCCGUCACACCAUGAGAGUCGGGAACACCCGAAGUCCGUAGCCUAACCGCAAGGGGGCGCGGCCGAAGGUGGGUCCGGUAAUUGGGGUGAAGUCGUAACAAGGUACC